rnacentral:rRNA from 1 species
GACGAACGCUGGCGGCGUGCUUAACACAUGCAAGUCGAACGGAAAGGCCCUGCUUUUGUGGGGUGCUCGAGUGGCGAACGGGUAAGUAACACGUGAGUAACCUGCCCUUGACUUUGGGAUAACUUCAGGAAACUGGGGCUAAUACCGGAUAGGAGCUCCUGCUGCAUGGUGGGGGUUGGAAAGUUUCGGCGGUUGGGGAUGGACUCGCGGCUUAUCAGCUUGUUGGUGGGGUAGUGGCUUACCAAGGCUUUGACGGGUAGCCGGCCUGAGAGGGUGACCGGCCACAUUGGGACUGAGAUACGGCCCAGACUCCUGCGGGAGGCAGCAGUGGGGAAUAUUGCACAAUGGGCGGAAGCCUGAUGCAGCAACGCCGCGUGCGGGAUGACGGCCUUCGGGUUGUAAACCGCUUUCGCCUGUGACGAAGCGUGAGUGACGGUAAUGGGUAAAGAAGCACCGGCUAACUACGUG